UUUUAAUGAUCCUGCAUUCAAAUGGCAGAAAAUAGUAAUCAAGAACAGGCUUUUCUUUUCACAGUGUUCCACAGCGCCUUCUCCCACGGAAUCCGAACAGAAAGAGCCGCCUGUUUAAUCAUGAACAAUACUAUUUUCAGCA